rnacentral:rRNA from 1 species
GAUGAACGCUAGCGACAGGCUUAACACAUGCAAGUCGAGGGGCAGCGGAGGCGAGUGCUUGCACUUGCCAGACGGCGACCGGCGCACGGGUGAGUAACACGUAUGCGACCUGCCCGUAGCAGGGGGAUAAGCGGAAGAAAUUCCGUCUAAUACCGCGUAAUAUCUUUCGGGGGCAUCCCUGAGGGAUUAAAGGAAGCGAUUCCGGCUACGGAUGGGCAUGCGGCGCAUUAGCUAGUCGGCGGGGUAACGGCCCACCGAGGCGACGAUGCGUAGGGGUUCUGAGAGGAAGGUCCCCCACACUGGUACUGAGACACGGACCAG